GUGGACACGUGACAGAGCUGUUUUUUCAUCUUUAAGCACGAUGAGUGGGGGUUCGAGGAAAUGUCCUAUAAGUAAUAAAGAGGCAGAAACGGAGACAGAGGAAGAGGUGCUGAACAGGAAGUGAUCCAAGAAAGCAGCCAAGAAGUACAAAGAGCGCAAGUAGACAGCCAAACUGAGCCAGAUGCUUGAGGAUCAGAUCAGCACAGGGAGUCUGCUUGUGUGGACGAGCUGACGGUUACGUCCUGGAGGGCAAGGAACUCGAUUUCUACCUCCGAAAGAUCAAGUCCAAGAAGGGAAAGUAAGCAA